rnacentral:rRNA from 1 species
GUCUACUGCCAUGCCACCCUGAACAAGCCCGAUGUCUGAUCUCGGAAGCUAAGCAGGGUCAGGCCUGGUUAGUACUUGGAUGGGAGACCACAUAGGAAGACCAGGUGCUGCAGGCA